rnacentral:rRNA from 1 species
UACGUAGGGGGCAAGCGUUGUCCGGAUUUAUUGGGCGUAAAGAGCGUGUAGGCGGCCAACCAGGUCCACUGUGAAAACUCGAGGCUCAACCUCGAGAGGUCGGUGGAAACCGUCUGGCUAGAGUCCGGAAGAGGAGAGUGGAAUUCCCGGUGUAGCGGUGAAAUGCGCAGAUAUCGGGAAGAACACCCGUGGCGAAGGCGGCUCUCUGGGACGGUACUGACGCUGAGACGCGAAAGCGUGGGGAGCGAACAGG